UCUUGGUCAUUUAGAGGAAGUAAAAGUCGUAACAAGGUUUCCGUAGGUGAACCUGCGGAAGGAUCAUUAAAGAACGGUUAGGGAUGUUGCUGGCCUGGCAUGCAGGCAUUUGUGCACUCCCUGAAACACUAUUCUCUCUCACACCUGUGCACUUUUUGUAGGCAUGUCAGAGGUAUUCUCUCUCUCGAGCCUAUGUAAUGUCUUUACCAAACACCACUGAAUGUUUGAAAAAGUUAUUUGUUAAUAAAUAAUUUAAACACAACUUUCAACAAUGGAUCUCUUGGCUCUCGCAUCGAUGAAGAACGCAGCGAAAUGCGAUACGUAAUGUGAAUUGCAGAAUUCCGUGAAUCAUCGAAUCUUUGAACGCACCUUGCGCCCCUUGGUAUUCCGAGGGGCAUGCCUGUUUGAGUGUCAUUGUAUUCUCAACUUGAAUCCGCUUUGUGGUGUUCAAGCUUGGAUGUGGAGUUUGCUGGCCCUUUUGGUGACAACCCCAAGGUCGGCUCCUCCGAAAGGCAUUAGCGAAGCAACCUCUCGUAUUGCGAAGGAGCGCCGGACACUGAUAAAGAUCUAUGCCUCGAGUGCCUUCCUGAGCGAGUUUGUUGUUCGCUUACAGUCGUACAAACAACUUAUUUUGACAAUUACCUCAAAUCAGGUAGGACUACCCGCUGAACUUAAGCAUAUCAAUAAGCGGAGGAA
rnacentral:rRNA from 1 species